AUUGGACGCUGGCGGCAGGCCUAACACAUGCAAGUCGAGCGGGAACUUCGGUUCUAGCGGCGGACGGGUGAGUAAUGCGUAGGAAGCUACCCGACAGAGGGGGAUACCAGUUGGAAACGACUGUUAAUACCGCAUAAUGUCUACGGACCAAAGUGUGGGACCUUCGGGCCACAUGCUGUCGGAUGCGCCUACGUGGGAUUAGCUAGUUGGUGAGGUAAUGGCUCACCAAGGCGACGAUCCCUAGCUGGGUUGAGAGGAUGAUCAGCCACACUGGAACUGAGACACGGUCCAGACUCCUACGGGAGGCAGCAGUGGGGAAUAUUGGACAAUGGGCGAAAGCCUGAUCCAGCCAUGCCGCGUGUGUGAAGAAGGCCUUCGGGUUGUAAAGCACUUUCAGUAGGGAGGAAGAGUUGAGUGUUAAUAGUACUCAGCUUUGACGUUACCUACAGAAGAAGCACCGGCUAACUCUGUGCCAGCAGCCGCAGUAAAAC
rnacentral:rRNA from 1 species